rnacentral:tmRNA from 1 species
CACUACGCCCGUAGAAGCCCUGUAUCAGUGUCGAAGGACCCGGGUUCGAUUCCCGGCACCUCCACCA